AUUGAACGCUGGCGGCAGGCUUAACACAUGCAAGCUGAGCGGAGCGUCAGACGGGUGAGUUAUGCCUAGGAAUCUGACUGGUAGUGAGGGAUAACGUCCGGUAACGGGCUCUAAUACAGCAUACUCUCAGCUGAGCCUAGGUGGGAUUAGCUAGUUGGUGGGUUAAAGGCUUACCAAGGCGACGAUCCGUAACUGGUCUGAGAGGAUGAUCAUGGACAGUGGAACUGGGACAUGAUCCAGACCCAUACGGAAGGCAGCACUGGGGAAAAUUGGACGAGGGGCGAAAGCCUGAUGCAGCGAUGCGGCGUGAGUGAAGAAGGUAAUCGGUUUGUAGAGCACUUUAAGUUUGGAGGCGUUACCAACAGAAUAAUCACCUGCUAGCUUCGUGCCGGCAGCCGCGGUAAUUC
rnacentral:rRNA from 1 species